UUAUUAUUUAAAUAAAAGAAAAGAAAAAAGAAAUUUUUCCUUCCUUCUUCCUCCCGUGCGUCCUCCAUCCCUUUCUCCUUCCCGUACCCUAGCAGCCGCACAUCCCUCUCUUCUCCGUUCACCCAGUCGGCCACACAAGCUGCCGGUCGUUUCUUCUUCUUCUUUCCGGUCGUCUUCCUUUUCUCCUUCGGAUCGAAACCGCCGCGCCCAUUCGCUCACAACCGCCGUGCCGCUCACAACCGCCGUGCCUCUCGCUCACAACCGUCGUGCCUCCCUCGGAAAGCAAAUCGUCGUCCAGAUCUGCAUCGCCGAGCCGUCCAGGUCCUCGCCGCCGCAUGUGCUUCACCCUUGCAGUUCGCCAUAACCCAGAUCCGUCGCUGCAAUCGUCGGUCGGUUCGUGAAGCAAGCCGUACGCGUCACCUUGCAGCAGUCGUCCAGAUCUGCGUCGCCGUGCCCAUUCCUUUCCUCUCCGUUCGUGAAGACCUGCUGCGCAAUCUCUGUCUCCGUCGAAGCCAAGCCCAGCCGCCGCCCGUUCCUUUCUCCUCCGUUUUCUGCACUGCCGCGCGACUCUCCGACCGCGUCUGUCUUCACCUCCGUGAAGCCGUCGACGCAUACAUCUCGUGAAGUCAUACACGGAUCCAAGCCGAUCUCUUCCUAAAUUACGUGUCCCCUAUCAAGUCGACGUUCUUCUGCUCGUUGUAAGACACAGUUACGAUUUGAAGCCGAUUUUCUUUUCCAGUUGAGUCGCAUUCAGUGUUGCUCUAUUUACAGCCGCUUGAUUCGUUCUUGAUUGUCAUUUUUGCCUCGCCGUGAACCAUUGGGCUCAUAUUUGGGUACAUCUUGAUUCAGUGAGCGAAUCCUUGAUUUUCCAAAAGGUUGAAGUGGACUUGAUUUUCCACUUCUUGGGAUUUGAUUCAUUGGAUUUAGUAGAUUGAAGAACUUGCAUAAAAGUGAGGUGUCCCACGGGAUCACCAAUUAUUCUGCACCAUUGGGAGCAUUAGACUGAUAUGUGUUUUUGCAGAACACUACACUGAAAUGUACGUCCCUCGGGGCGUUAGACUGAAAUGUGCAUCCUACGGGAUCACAAGACUGCGACUGUACAGGGUGUCCCAAUAGAAUGUUAACAAUUUAUUUUUCCCCUGACGGGACCAGUAGAGGGUCUCUUACUGGGUAUUUUUAUACUCACCCUUCUUAUGUUUAAUUUUCAGGCAAAGGUAAUAAAGGCGGCAAACCGGCGAGGGGCAGGAAGGAAGUGUGAUUGCCAUAGGAAAUGUGUUAUUUUGCUUCCGCUUAUUGUUUUUUUUAGGUUUAAGACGUUGUAUUGAAACUUAGCUUACAAACUUUUAUUUGUAAAUAGUACUUUUUUUAAGUUUUUGGAAUAUUUGAAAAUCAGGCCUGACUUAAA